AGAGUUUGAUCCUGGCUCAGGAUGAACGCUGGCGGCGUGCCUAAUACAUGCAAGUCGAGCGAACGGACGAGAAGCUUGCUUCUCUGAUGUUAGCGGCGGACGGGUGAGUAACACGUGGAUAACCUACCUAUAAGACUGGGAUAACUUCGGGAAACCGGAGCUAAUACCGGAUAAUAUUUUGAACCGCAUGGUUCAAAAGUGAAAGACGGUCUUGCUGUCACUUAUAGAUGGAUCCGCGCUGCAUUAGCUAGUUGGUAAGGUAACGGCUUACCAAGGCAACGAUGCAUAGCCGACCUGAGAGGGUGAUCGGCCACACUGGAACUGAGACACGGUCCAGACUCCUACGGGAGGCAGCAGUAGGGAAUCUUCCGCAAUGGGCGAAAGCCUGACGGAGCAACGCCGCGUGAGUGAUGAAGGUCUUCGGAUCGUAAAACUCUGUUAUUAGGGAAGAACAUAUGUGUAAGUAACUGUGCACAUCUUGACGGUACCUAAUCAGAAAGCCACGGCUAACUACGUGCCAGCAGCCGCGGUAAUACGUAGGUGGCAAGCGUUAUCCGGAAUUAUUGGGCGUAAAGCGCGCGUAGGCGGUUUUUUAAGUCUGAUGUGAAAGCCCACGGCUCAACCGUGGAGGGUCAUUGGAAACUGGAAAACUUGAGUGCAGAAGAGGAAAGUGGAAUUCCAUGUGUAGCGGUGAAAUGCGCAGAGAUAUGGAGGAACACCAGUGGCGAAGGCGACUUUCUGGUCUGUAACUGACGCUGAUGUGCGAAAGCGUGGGGAUCAAACAGGAUUAGAUACCCUGGUAGUCCACGCCGUAAACGAUGAGUGCUAAGUGUUAGGGGGUUUCCGCCCCUUAGUGCUGCAGCUAACGCAUUAAGCACUCCGCCUGGGGAGUAC
rnacentral:rRNA from 2 species